AUUGAACGCUGGCGGCAUGCCUUACACAUGCAAAUCGGACGGUAACGGGCCUUCGGGUGCCGACGAGUGGCGAACGGGUGAGUAAUACAUCGGAACGUGCCCGAUCGUGGGGGAUAACGAGGCGAAAGCUUUGCUAAUACCGCAUACGAUCUACGGAUGAAAGCAGGGGACCGCAAGGCCUUGCGCGGACGGAGCGGCCGAUGGCAGAUUAGGUAGUUGGUGGGAUAAAAGCUUACCAAGCCGACGAUCUGUAGCUGGUCUGAGAGGAUGAUCAGCCACACUGGGACUGAGACACGGCCCAGACUCCUACGGGAGGCAGCAGUGGGGAAUUUUGGACAAUGGGCGCAAGCCUGAUCCAGCCAUGCCGCGUGCAGGAUGAAGGCCUUCGGGUUGUAAACUGAUUUUGUACGGAACGAAAAGCCUUCUUUUAAUACAGGAGGGUCAUGACGGUACCGUAAGAAUAAGCACCGGCUAACUACGUG
rnacentral:rRNA from 1 species